rnacentral:rRNA from 1 species
GAUCCUGACUCAGGAUGAACGCUAGCUACAGGCUUAACACAUGCAAGUCGAGGGGCAGCAUGAACUUAGCUUGCUAAGUUUGAUGGCGACCGGCGCACGGGUGAGUAACACGUAUCCAACCUUCCGUUUACCCAGGGAUAGCCUUUCGAAAGAAAGAUUAAUACCUGAUAGUAUGGUGAGAUUGCAUGAUAGCACCAUUAAAGAUUUAUUGGUAAACGAUGGGGAUGCGUUCCAUUAGGUAG